rnacentral:rRNA from 1 species
CCUACGGGUGGCAGCAGUGGGGAAUAUUGGACAAUGGGGGGAACCCUGAUCCAGCGACGCCGCGUGAGUGAAGAAGUAUUUCGGUAUGUAAAGCUCUAUCAGCAGGGAAGAAAAUGACGGUACCUGAGUAAGAAGCCCCGGCUAACUACGUUCCAGCAGCCGCGGUAAUACGUAGGGGGCAAGCGUUAUCCGGAUUUACUGGGUGUAAAGGGAGCGUAGACGGCAGUGCAAGUCUGGAGUGAAAGGCGGGGGCUCAACCCCCGGACUGCUCUGGAAACUGUACGGCUGGAGUGCAGGAGAGGUAAGUGGAAUUCCUAGUGUAGCGGUGAAAUGCGUAGAUAUUAGGAGGAACACCAGUGGCGAAGGCGGCUUACUGGACUGUAACUGACGUUGAGGCUCGAAAGCGUGGGGAGCAAACAGGAUUAGAUACCCCAGUAGUC